AUCUCUCGCCUCACUUCCUGUUACAACCUCACCACCACCACCAGCAGUUCCCUAGCAACGGGAGGCAGUGUAGUGUGAAGUGGUUCCCUGAGCCCCUGGACUCUCUUUCUCUGUAUCUCUGUUGAUACUUGAGCUGCUUCCCAAUAUUCUAUCCUAAGUGUGUACAAGGCAACUAAGAGGUCUCUUCUGACCACAUACUCUCUUACCACCACUCUCUGAGCAUGAACGGCAGAAACAGAUCCAGAUGACGACGAAGGGGGAAAUAGAAAGAGAGGAAGAGGUUGACUUGACGACAAUCCUUCUUUCAGAGCAUGUCGGGAACACAGAUCUCAAACAACGAACCAUCUUUGUAAUUAUUCUCUCACAAGCAGCUUGCUUGAAUGUGGUCUUCCUUUGCUGUCAUCUUUUCACGCUCACUUGAACUGUGACUCUUGACUAUGCUGGGCCACAAAAAGAGGACCCAGGGCAUUAAACUCACCAUGAUUAUGGCUUUCAAAGUAAAUUUCUCUAGUAUACCCAUCACCAAGCACCCUUCACCCCCCCCCCCCCCCUCCCCUCUCUCUCUUAUUUCCCCUUUGCCUGGUUCUUCUCAUUCACUUUUUCCAUUCCCUCCAACAGGAACAUUCCAUUCCAUAGCUUGCAGUCAGCGCUGCGUGACCUCGCCAUGGCGAUGUGAUAAUUUUUGCAUCUUGACAGUAAGUUUAGACGUGGGUGCGUCUGGCCGGAAAGCGUUUCCUUGCGCCUUCAUGUUAGACCAUACGAGCUUCCGAAACUUUUUGCACCAGUUUCUAGAACUCCUACGACCCAGUUUCAAAACAGAGCAACAUUUUAGCUGGCUUGUUGCGUAGCGCUCCUCUUGGCGUGUGACUUUGGGACAUGUAAAGCGUAGAGGAAUACAAUUCCUCAAAACAGGGAGUCUGGCCGUUAAUAACACCACUUACCUGAAGCGAGGGGAGUCCUUCAAACAUUCUUCGAAGUCCAGUUUGACUGUCAUCUUGUCGUUGAUAAAAUAAA